rnacentral:rRNA from 1 species
CAGUCGCCGCGGGAAUACGUAGGUGGCAAGCGUUGUCCGGAAUUAUUGGGCGUAAAGCGCGCGCAGGCGGAUCAGUCAGUCUGUCUUAAAAGUUCGGGGCUUAACCCCGUGAUGGGAUGGAAACUGCUGAUCUAGAGUAUCGGAGAGGAAAGUGGAAUUCCUAGUGUAGCGGUGAAAUGCGUAGAUAUUAGGAAGAACACCAGUGGCGAAGGCGACUUUCUGGACGAAAACUGACGCUGAGGCACGAAAGCGUGGGGAGCAAACAGGAUUAGAUACCCGAGUAGUCCCUGUCUCUUAUACA